rnacentral:rRNA from 1 species
UACGUAGGGACAAGCGUUGUCCGGAAUCACUGGGCGUAAAGGGCGACGCAGGCGGUCUAUCAAGCAGGAUGUGAAAGGCAGGAGCUCAACUCCUUGCACGGCAACCUGAACUGACAGACUAGAGUAUUGGAGAGGCAGGCAGAAUUCCUGGUGUAGCGGUGAAAUGCGUAGAGAUCAGGAGGAAUACCGGAGGCGAAGGCGGCCUGCUGGACAAAUACUGACGCUGAGGUGCGAAAGCGUGGGGAGGCAAACA